rnacentral:rRNA from 1 species
GGAAAGGUGAAAAGAACCCCGAACAGGGGAGUGAAAUAGAACCUGAAACCAUACGCUUACAACCGGUCGGAGCAGCUUCGUGCUGUGACGGCGUGCCUAUUGAAUAAUGAGCCUACGAGUUACUAAUCACUAGCGAGGUUAAGUGCAAGGAUGCACGGAGCCGAAGCGAAAGCGAGUCUGAACAGGGCGUUUAGUUAGUGGUUGUAGACGCGAAACCUUGCGAUCUACCCUUGAGCAGGUUGAAGGUUGGGUAAAACCAACUGGAGGACCGAACGAAUAAGCGUUGAAAAGCUUCUCGAUGACUUGAGGGUAGGGGUGAAAGGCUAAUCAAGCUGGGAAAUAGCUCGUACUCCCCGAAAUGCCUUUAGGGGCAGCGUUGUAAUUGAGAGUCUACUGGAGGUAGAGCUACUGAUUGGAUGCGGGGGCUUCACCGCCUACCAAAUCCUGACAAACUCCGAAUGCCAGUAGUAUGAUUUACAGCAGUGAGCGACCGGGUGCUAAUGUCCGGUCACAAAAGAGGAACAACUCAGACCAGCAACUAAGGUCCCGAAGAAUAUGCUAAGUUGAUCUAACGAUGUUUUGUUGCAGAGACAGCUAGGAUGUUAGCUUGGAAGCAGCUAUUCAUUCAAAGAGUGCGUAACAGCUCACUAGUCGAGCGACAAAGCGUGGAUAAUAAACGGGCAUCAAGUAUACCACCGAAGUUCUGGGCACGAAAGUGCGGUAGGGGAGCAUUCCAUUCUGCGUCGAAGCCGAAUCGUGAGAUUUGGUGGAGCGUAUGGAAAAGCAAAUGUAGGCAUGAGUAACGAUAAUGCGGGAGAGUAACCCGCACACCGCAAGACCAAGGUUUCCUGAUCAACGCUAAUCGGAUCAGGGUUAGUCGGGUCCUAAGGGUAAGCCGAACGGCGAUCUCGAUGGAUAAUCGGUUAAUAUUCCGAUACUAACAUAUACCUCGAUGGAGAGACGAAGGAACGUAAGUGCCGCCGCCUGACGGAAUAGGUGGUUAAAGGGCGUAGGUAUAGGGACAGAUUAAGAGUUAGUCCUUGCUGAAACCCGACAGUACAGAGAGCCUACGGGCAAUUUGAUAGUGCACCCAAGUCGACUUCCGAGAAAAUCUUCUAAGUUAUAGUAUAUGUUACCCGUACCGUAAACCGACACAGGUGGUCGAGGAGAGUAUCCUAAGGUGCUCGAGUGAAUCACGGUUAAGGAACUAGGCAAAUUAACCCCGUAACUUCGGGAAAAGGGGUCCCUAUGAAAGUAGGGCGCAGCGAAGAGGUCCAGGCGACUGUUUAUCAAAAACACAGGGCUCUGCAAAUUCGAAAGAAGACGUAUAGGGCCUGACACCUGCCCGGUGCUGGAAGGUUAAGAGGGGAUGUCAUCGCAAGAGAAGCAUUGAAUCGAAGCCCCAGUAAACGGCGGCCGUAACUAUAACGGUCCUAAGGUAGCGAAAUUCCUUGUCGGGUAAGUUCCGACCUGCACGAAUGGUGUAACGAUCUGGACACUGUCUCAACCGUGAGCUCGGUGAAAUUGUAGUCCCGGUGAUGAUGCCGGGUACCCGCAACGGGACGAAAAGACCCCGUGAACCUUUACUAUAGCUUAACGCUGAAUUUGGGUACACAAUGUGUAGGAUAGGCCGGAGGCUUUGAAGCGGGCACGCCAGUGUUCGUGGAGCCGACGUUGAAAUACGGCCCUUUGUGUAUUUGAGUUCUAACCCUGCGAAGGGGACACCGUUUGGUGGGUAGUUUGACUGGGGUGGUCGCCUCCAAAAGCGUAACGGAGGCUUCCCAAGGUACCCUCAGCACGAAUGGUAACCGUGCGCGGAGUGCAAUAGCAUAAGGGUGCUUGACUGUGAGACAUACAAGUCGACCAGGUACGAAAGUAGGGUAUAGUGAUCCGGUGGUUCUGCGUGGACUGGCCAUCGCUCAAAGGAUAAAAGGUACUCCGGGGAUAACAGGCUGAUCGCCGCCAAGAGCUCAUAUCGACGCGGCGGUUUGGCACCUCGAUGUCGGCUCGUCACAUCCUGGGGCUGGAGAAGGUCCCAAGGGUU